CACCGUCUACCCGGACCCCUGGGUCCGCUAGCUAGAAGUCCUUGAGACAAAAGCUCGGGCAGGAUCCGGACGGGCGCAACGGAAUAUCAUCUACGAUGCUUGUCCCACGGCCUGACUGAAUAAUAUUUAUAUAAUCAAUGGAAGGAAAAAACAUUAGAAUAUUGAAAUUGGCUCCUAGGCAAGACGGAAGAUGGACAAAGGCGGUCAGAAAAUGAUGGCCUAGACACAAGAGCUGUUGGCAGAGAUCAUCUGAAGAUGGUCAGAUGACAUCAGCAUCAGCAACCUUGUGGUGAAACAAUUAACAUGAGCGGCACAGAACUGGCUGAAAAAGUUGAAAAACUUGGUAUACAUAAUAAGAGGCCUAUACCAAUUUGAUGACUGAUAGGCCAAGUUUGAACUGAUUAUUGUGAGAGUUGAUAACUAAGAAUACCCAAUAUGCUGUUAUAGUGUGUAAAUAGUACUUAUAUUUUUUAUAAUUUAUUUAUUAUGUAUAAGUUUAAUAAAUGUUUUACUUACCUAAAGAA